UACGUAGGGUGCGAGCGUUGUCCGGAAUUAUUGGGCGUAAAGGGCUCGUAGGCGGUUUGUCGCGUCGGGAGUGAAAACUCAGGGCUUAACCCUGAGCCUGCUUCCGAUACGGGCAGACUAGAGGUAUGCAGGGGAGAACGGAAUUCCUGGUGUAGCGGUGAAAUGCGCAGAUAUCAGGAGGAACACCGGUGGCGAAGGCGGUUCUCUGGGCCUUACCUGACGCUCAGGCGCGAAAGCUAGGGGAGCGAACAGG
rnacentral:rRNA from 1 species